GCCUGCACAGCUGGUGGAGGUUUCAAAGAAGUUACUCAUUAAAAGAAAACAACCAGAUGAACGCCAACAGCAAAAGACAACGCUAACCACUGAUGAAGAAUAGGGGAGGGAAAUGGUAUAGGAAGGCUCUGGCUGCUCUCAGAGGGCUUUUCAGAUGUGUCCCGGCACAGCUCUGCCUCUCAGAUUGGCAGGUCGGCUGAUCUCUGUGGACUCCAACUUCAGCAGUCGUUUCUGCUUGAGUGGCCAGGCUGUCGAGUGGAGACUCUCCAGAGGGCAAGGGGGAGCCGGCCCGCGGGUCUUUCAAAUACGCGGCAAACAUAAGUGCAAAUCCUGACAUUUUAUUGCUUUGCAGGAGGCUCAGCCUCACGGCGUCGCCACUUCUGAAGCGCUAGAGCCCUGUGGCACCCGUCUGCCUGCGUCUCUCUGCAUACAGCCGUGCGCUGCGCGCUCCAGACUGGGGUGAGGAGGAGGGACUACGGCCAAGUCUUGGUUUCUCAGACAGCUGCAGCUGCUGCAGGUCUCAUCCAGGCAGAUUUCCUCCCAUCGUCAUUGAUCCCCUGUGCUCUAGGUGCAGCUGUGCUUGAAGAGCCCCGGAGACCCAGGCUUGGCUUAAAGCCUUUACAGAUGCCUGGGAGCUACCGCAAGCAAAGGGGUGCCCCAACGCGGGACUUCUCAUGCCACAGCGAUCACUGUAGUCUUUGUCUGCAGGCACGUGGCAGGACUUAACUGCAGCUGCGGUUACCUUUUUUUUUUUUGGAGCAUCAGGAAGUAAAAAAAAAAAAGCUGGGAUAGAGAAAACCAUGGCGAUGCCCCUCUGACACUGUGUAAAAGUGCAAAAAACUCAGGUAAGUAGAAGUGUUAUGAUGGGGUGUGUUUUUUUGAAUUCUUACAGUUUAGUCAUCAAAAGUGUGCUCUGGUAACCAUUGCUUUGGUGACUAUAUCCGAUAUGGCUCUCAUGUACCAGCUGUUCUACACAAAUGAAUAGUUACAGACAUGAGGUGGACCUAUUUCCACUUCUUUUUAUUUGUUUUCUUAAGAGGUGGAUGAACGUUGUUUCACAUCUGCCAAAAGCACAGGCAAAAAUGGAAGAAGGUGUAGGGCUACGGCAAAACAGUUAGGCAGGUCCCACUGCUAACAGGCUCAGUAGAAAUUUAACAAUACAUUUUCCAGCAAAGAUUUUAAAGUGUCUUCUGAAAGCAUGCAGUUUCUCAAACUGUAGUACCUUAGAACUGCAGUCUCAGUACGCCAGAGGUAUUUCUAACAGGUUAACGGUUGGUUUCAUCUAUGUUUUGGCUCAAUUUUCAAGAUUUUGAGGCAGAAAAUCCAAUUAAUUAAAAUUGGAAUUUUUUUUCCCUUGGUAAAGACUUCAGGCUUGACCCCAUGACUAGUAAAACCAUCAUCAUCAAAAUCAGACACUUUUAGGUAGGGUCUGGUGCAGCUCACUUUGAUUCUUGUCCUCAUGCUAGUGGAAUAUUCAGACAUGUUGCUAGAAAUCCUGCUGCUGAAGAGAAAUGGCUUAGGAAAGCGAACCUCCCUGCAGCCUCUCCCGCCCCGCUUCGCUCUUCCUGCGCUGGGGGCAGCAGGUAUGCCUCCCGCGGGGCUCUGACGAGCAGAAUGCAAGGUCAACAGCUACGGCAGCCACAGUCUCGUCUCCCUCAAGGGCUUCAACUUCAUCUCGGUGUAAGGAUGACUUGUCACAAACUAAGGUCCCCGAGUGUCCUUCCAGCGCAGGCACUGCUGACUGUGGGGGUGCUUUUCCUGUGGGGCCAGUGUGAACAAGAACGGCUCCAGCCCUGGCUCAUGGGAAGAGCAGCCUCAGAGCUCUGGAGGGAGGCCCCUUCCCAGCACUCCCUGGCUCAUGAGUGCCAGUGACCACCAAGGGCAGGGGAGGCACCACAAGGUGAGCAACACCAAACCAUCCAGAGCAGCCCCCUCCUGUGGCAUCCUGUGCCAACAGGCACCCUGUGACUAAAGGCAUGUCGCUGCUGUGGCCUGUGUUCAGCAUCCACAGCAGAAAAAACACAUUUGGGGAAAAAACCAAACCACCUCUAAAAGACAUUUAGGAUUGUAAAUCGGCCAUCUAUUUCUCACAAAACCUUGAGGAACUGGGAGAAUGAGGGUGGGGAGCGUUCUGUGAGGACUCUGUAUUGCCUCAUCACCUGAAGUCUCAUAACUAAUUUGAAAUUCCUGUAUCCUAAGGCACAAUUAUUAUGAUUAAUGAAGAUGGUAACAGGCCCAUCCCCCACAGGCCAAGGACCAGGCCUAAGAGUUGGCUACUAAGACAGAAUAAAAGCAGCAUUAGUUUACGUGGACAAACACUAAAGAAAAAAAAUGGAGGGCACAUGGCCUGUAAUUAUUGUCAGGCUGCUCUGCUGCAGGCAUGUGUUUCACACAACACUGCCGAAGCAUCUCGUCUAUGCAUAUGUAAUUGCUGGCUCACAUUUUCACAACUGAGAGCCAAACGCCCCAACAGAGGCUAAGAAGGAAGCCCGUUUAAAUAUCAGGGCUUUGUGGAAGCAGAGAAACAGGCUAAAACAUAGUAACAACCUGCUCCUGGUGAAACAAACACCAUGGCCGCAGUUCUCAACAGUCAGGCACUCUAGAAAAGCAAGGAGUCGAAUGUCUGGAAAUUGAGGAAUACGAACUGGUUUAAUUCAGCCUUCCUUAGCGGGGAGCCCUCCCAUCAAAUCAUCCCGCCCUCAGCAGACUGACAGGUACAAGGAGGACUCUAAGCAAACAAUCACUGGCUUUCCACAUUCAGCAGAGGGGCGAUGGUGAAGGGAACACCACACACAACACCACUGUUCGUUGUGUCCCUGGUCUGUAUUUUGUCUGGUUUUUUUUCUCUGAAACACUCAAACCUGGAUAUAUUCUGCUCACAAAACCAUAAAGGGAUACUUUAAAGGAACUAAAAGCGUGUUUGUUUUGUCCACAGAUGAAACACCGGUGUAGUUGAAGACUGAACCUGUAGUGGAGUGUUAGUCAAUUGUAAACUGUAGGAGAUGUGUGCAUUUUACACAAACUGAACACAGAGGAGACGGAGGACGAGUCUGCAUCAUUCCAACUCUGAUAAAGUGCACGGCCUUCGGAAUUCCUGUCCCCGCUCGUGGAGCCAUUUAUUGGAUACUGCAAAGACAAAGGCAUUUGAUCAGCGUACCUGAGGAAAAAGAAAACCAAGACAACCCACCAACAAAGGCCCGGACGUCCAGGUGACAGGCAGCGAGAACAACGUGAGGGGUACUUACCCCAUUUGUUUCCAACUAGUACUGGGCAGGCCGCAUGCCGCGUGCUGUAAUCUCCUUCUCCGCUUGGGAAGAGGUUGUACCAGAAUACAGCCGUUCCCUGGGAAUUGCAGUGGAAACCCUCAGCAUGUUGCUCUGUGUGAUGCACGCUUUCACACCAACUUACUUAAUGAUAUGGCAACGGUACAUGUAUUUGUAUUUCAGAUGCUCCUUUUAAAUUGAAGGGUCUUUUCCAUAUGCAAACAUUUGCUUUCCUAAGGA